rnacentral:rRNA from 1 species
ACAUGCAGUCGAGCGGACCGACGGGAGCUUGCUCCCUUAGGUCAGCGGCGGACGGGUGAGUAACACGUGGGUAACCUGCCUGUAAGACUGGGAUAACUCCGGGAAACCGGGGCUAAUACCGGAUGCUUGAUUGAACCGCAUGGUUCAAUCAUAAAAGGUGGCUUUUAGCUACCACUUGCAGAUGGACCCGCGGCGCAAUAGCUAGUUGGUGAGGUAACGGCUCACCAAGGCGACGAUGCGUAGCCGACCUGAGAGGGUGAUCGGCCACACUGGGACUGAGACACGGCCCAGACUCCUACGGGAGGCAGCAGUAGGGAAUCUUCCGCAAUGGACGAAAGUCUGACGGAGCAACGCCGCGUGAGUGAUGAAGGUUUUCGGAUCGUAAAACUCUGUUGUUAGGGAAGAACAAGUACCGUUCGAAUAGGGCGGUACCUUGACGGUACCUAACCAGAAAGCCACGGCUAACUACGUGCCAGCAGCCGCGGUAAUACGUAGGUGGCAAGCGUUGUCCGGAAUUAUUGGGCGUAAAGCGCGCGCAGGCGGUUUCUUAAGUCUGAUGUGAAAGCCCCCGGCUCAACCGGGGAGGGUCAUUGGAAACUGGGGAACUUGAGUGCAGAAGAGGAGAGUGGAAUUCCACGUGUAGCGGUGAAAUGCGUAGAGAUGUGGAGGAACACCAGUGGCGAAGGCGACUCUCUGGUCUGUAACUGACGCUGAGGCGCGAAAGCGUGGGGAGCGAACAGGAUUAGAUACCCUGGUAGUCCACGCCGUAAACGAUGAGUGCUAAGUGUUAGAAGGGUUUCCGCCCUUUAGUGCUGCAGCAAACGCAUUAAGCACUCCGCCUGGGGGAGUACGGUCGCAAGACUGAAACUCAAAGGAAUUGACGGGGGCCCGCACAAGCGGUGGAGCAUGUGGUUUAAUUCGAAGCAACGCGAAGAACCUUACCAGGUCUUGACAUCCUCUGACAACCCUAGAGAUAGGGCUUCCCCUUCGGGGGCAGAGUGACAGGUGGUGCAUGGUUGUCGUCAGCUCCUGUCGUGAGAUGUUGGGUUAAGUCCCGCACCGAGCGCAACCCUUGAUCUUAGUUGCCAGCAUUCAGUUGGGCACUCUAAGGUGACUGCCGGUGACAACCC